rnacentral:lncRNA from 1 species
GGGGGGGGGGGGUUUAGCGGGAACAGGCGCAAUUAACUGGAGUCAAAUAACGUUUCGAGUUUGGUCGUCAUGCCGUUCCGUAGCACGGUCCGUCCAUGCAUGAUAGCGCAGCAUGGCUGACGUGGCUUAAUAACAAUCGAAAUUUUAAUUUUCUUUUCCUAGUUUAUCUUUUUACUAUAGCUAUCAUAAUCGAACCUUUUGGGUCACAAGUCGAACCAUGUAAUAUUCUAUUACUAAUUCCAUUUAUAUUGACUAA